rnacentral:ncRNA from 1 species
CCCGCGAGGGCGCGGAUGAAGGAAGUUGGAAGCGAAGUUCGGAGGACACGAACAGGAAAUGGAUACAAGGCCUACUCGCGGGCAAGCCUGCACUACAAGGCAAAGCCCCAACCCUAACCGUAGCGAGGUGGUAAAUCCAUGUCCCGCCGGGCGAAAGAUGU